rnacentral:rRNA from 1 species
UACGUAGGGUGCGAGCGUUAAUCGGAAUUACUGGGCGUAAAGCGUGCGCAGGCGGUGCUGUAAGACCGAUGUGAAAUCCCCGGGCUUAACCUGGGAACUGCAUUGGUGACUGCAGCGCUGGAGUAUGGCAGAGGGGGGUGGAAUUCCACGUGUAGCAGUGAAAUGCGUAGAGAUGUGGAGGAACACCGAUGGCGAAGGCAGCCCCCUGGGUCAAGAUUGACGCUCAUGCACGAAAGCGUGGGGAGCAAACAGG